rnacentral:ncRNA from 2 species
AUACUCCGACGCAUUCAAGGUGCUAUUUGUACUAAUGCAAAAAGUUAAACGGGAAACUGGUGUAAAUCCAGCGCUGCCCCCGCAACGGUAAACAUUGGAAGUUCGUAACACUUUCGCUUAUUAUUCAUCGAUAUCUGUAUCGGCGUCAUCCACUGUGUGCAAACAUGGGAAGGUUUUAAUAAGAAAAUGUAAGCCCGGAUACCGGCCUUGAAAGGUGCUGGCAA